rnacentral:rRNA from 1 species
CCAAGGAGUCUAAUUAGGCAUCAAGUCGAUCGGUCUUGAUAGGCCAGACGGGUGGAUUCCUCCACCGAUUGAAGGCGUACAGAAUCAAAUCAUGUGAUCAUGGGGGCAAUACCAGCCCUUAUGCGCAACAUGUGCCUGUUCGUAUAGUAAUGUUAGCAAUAACUUACUGGGCGGAGCAAAGAGAUGCCUGAUUGGUACCCGAAAGAUGGUGAACUAUGCUUGGGCAAAUUGAAGCCAGAGGAAACUCUGGUGGAGGAUUGUAGCGAUUCUGACAUGCAAAUCGAUCGUCAGACCUGAGUAUAGGGGCGAAAGACUAAUCGAACCAUC